CGAUGUUCCUGACGUUGUGGCCCCUGCUGUCCACUACGGGAGAACGGCUGGUUAGCCGUAGCCAGCAAUACGUUAAAGUGUUAGCAGACAUGCCAUCCGUUGCCAGCAGCGCUCUAGAUGAGUUUGUUGCUGGGCGACCAGAAACUUUGGCUGGCCAGAUGUCGAAGCUUGGCUAACUGGCUGCCCAUGUGAAUCUAUGGGGUGGACAGAGGUACGAUGCAUUCGCGCUCCACAAAUCCUAAUGUCGGAGCCUUUCAGGUACAAGAAGGGGAGUGUGGACCAGGGGGAGGCCUGGUCUACUAUUGCAGACGCCUUGAAUAGUUCCCUGGACCUUCAAUUUAAAGUGUAGGAUGGAGGAGCAAGCGAGGAGGGCACAACAGUCGCAGCAGCAGGUGAUGGAGACGAUGCAAAUGAGGCAGCAGCAGCAGGCUCCCCCGGCCGGCAGUGGUCCCCCGGCCGCCGUGCUCCCCCGGCCGGCAGUGCUCCCCCGGCCUGUUCCUCCGGCAGUGCUCCCCCGGCCCCGGCCGUGCUCCCCCAGCAGCAAGGGCAAGCAGUGCUUUCUAACUGAUGAACUUCCCAAGGAAAGUUGAGAUGUUUAAUAUCCAAUAUUUAAUAAUAAAACAAAAUAUAAUACAUACA